CGGAUGCCGAUCUCGAAAACCUGUCCCAGUUCGGACUGGAGUCUGCAACCCGACUCCACGAAGUUGGAUUCGCUAGUAAUCGCGCAUCAGCCAUGGCGCGGUGAAUACGUUCCCGGGCCUUGUACACACCGCCCGUCAAGCCAUGGGAGCCGGGGGCGCCUGAAGUCCGGGACCGCGAGGACCGGCCUAGGGCGAAACUGGUGACUGGGGCUAAGUCGUAACAAGGUACC
rnacentral:rRNA from 1 species